GAUAACCUGGGGAAACCCAGGCUAAUACCGCAUACGUCCUACGGGAGAAAGGAGGCUCCGGCUCCCGCUAUGGGAUGAGCCUAUGUCGGAUUAGCUAGUUGGUGAGGUAACGGCUCACCAAGGCCACGAUCCGUAGCUGGUCUGAGAGGAUGAUCAGCCACAUCGGGACUGAGACACGGCCCGAACUCCUACGGGAGGCAGCAGUGGGGAAUAUUGGACAAUGGGGGAAACCCUGAUCCAGCCAUGCCGCGUGUGUGAAGAAGGCCCUCGGGUUGUAAAGCACUUUCAGCGAGGAAGAACGCCUAGCGGUUAAUACCCGCUAGGAAAGACAUCACUCGCAGAAGAAGCACCGGCUAACUCCGUGCCAGCAGCCGCGGUAAUACGGAGGGUGCAAGCGUUAAUCGGAAUUACUGGGCGUAAAGCGCGCGUAGGUGGCUUGAUAAGCCGGUUGUGAAAGCCCCGGGCUCAACCUGGGAACGGCAUCCGGAACUGUCAAGCUAGAGUGCAGGAGAGGAAGGUAGAAUUCCCGGUGUAGCGGUGAAAUGCGUAGAGACCGGGAGGAAUACCAGUGGCGAAGGCGGCCUUCUGGACUGACACUGACACUGAGGUGCGAAAGCGUGGGUAGCAAACAGGAUUAGAUACCCUGGUAGUCCACGCCGUAAACGAUGUCGACCAGCCGUUGGGUGCCUAGCGCACUCUGUGGCGAAGUUAACGCGAUAAGUCGACCGCCUGGGGAGUACGGCCGCAAGGUUAAAACUCAAAUGAAUUGACGGGGGCCCGCACAAGCGGCGGAGCAUGUGGUUUAAUUCGAUGCAACGCGAAGAACCUUACCUACUCUUGACAUCCUGCGAAUUCGGUAGAGAUACCUUAGUGCCUUCGGGAACGCAGAGACAGGUGCUGCAUGGCUGUCGUCAGCUCGUGUUGUGAAAUGUUGGGUUAAGUCCCGUAACGAGCGCAACCCUUGUCCUUAUUUGCCAGCGCGUAAUGGCGGGAACUCUAAGGAGACUGCCGGUGACAAACCGGAGGAAGGUGGGGACGACGUCAAGUCAUCAUGGCCCUUACGAGUAGGGCUACACACGUGCUACAAUGGUCGGUACAAAGGGUUGCCAACUCGCGAGAGUGAGCCAAUCCCGAAAAGCCGAUCUCAGUCCGGAUCGGAGUCUGCAACUCGACUCCGUGAAGUCGGAAUCGCUAGUAAUCGUGGAUCAGAAUGCCACGGUGAAUACGUUCCCGGGCCUUGUACACACCGCCCGUCACACCAU
rnacentral:rRNA from 1 species